rnacentral:lncRNA from 10 species
ACUCUCUCCUUUCUGGUCUAAAUUGGGUUGGAAUAUAUAUCAAAGGAAGCCAGAAAGUGGUUGGGGAGAUUAAAAAAAACAACAACAACAACGUUUAGACUGAAUGUCUUGACGGUCCAUCCAUUCACUUCUGCUUUGAAAAUGGUGAGUAAUUACAGCUGUAAGACUCAUACAGAUACAGUGACUUCACGUGGUGUUAGGAGUAAGGAUAUUUGGAUUUUAGCCUGAGCUUUCCACUAACAAGCUGUGUGUUCCUGGGCAAAUAUUUAACCUCUCUGGGUGUCAAGUUCUCCACCUGUACAGUUAGUGGGCUGACCUGGAAGACCUCUGAGAUCUUAUAUGGCUCUCAUAUGCCGUGGGCUAUUACUUAGAUUGUUUUUUAGCUCAAUUGAAAUAAUUGUAUCCUCUAUUGCCUGCCUCCCCAAAGCUCACAGCAUGCAGGCUCCCAAAUGCAAGAUUUGGGGCACCUGCUUCAUUUUCCUAGGCCCCAGAUUUUCUGCAAGCAGUUCUACAUUUGGGCUUACGAAUUCAACUAUAUGACAUGUUGAGAUCAUUGGUCAAAAGGCAUUGGAUUUCUGUCUUAUCUAGAUAUUUAUAAGGCAUUGAAAAAAUUCAUUCAAAUCCAAUUCAAAAGAGUAGAUUCUAACGUGGGCAAGCAAACUGGUUUCUUCAUAUGCGCACACACAAAUACAACUGCAUAAAUAUGACAUACCAUACAUGCUAGAUUUGGGGGUUUGAAGAGCUUCUUUUUAUACUUUAUGUCAUUGAGGUACAGAUCUUGAGUGUACCAACAAAUGAAUUUUGACAAAUGUGUAUGAUCCUGUUAUCAAUAUCCCAAGCAAGACACAAACCACUGCCCAGAAAGUUUUCUCAUGCCCCUUCCUAGUCAAACUGUCUUCUUCCAGGAACAACAAUUAUUAUCCCCACAAAUUAGUUUUGCCUAUUUUCUUUUUUUUUUUUUUUUUUUUUUUUGAGAUGGAGUCUUGCUCUGUCUCCCAGGCUGGAGUGCAGUGGUGCGAUCUUGGCUCACCACAAGCUCCGCCUCCUGGGUUCACGCCAUUCUCCUGCUUCAGCGUUCCCAGUAGCCGGGACUACAGGCGCUCGCCACCACACCUGACUAAUUUUUUUGUGUGUUUUUUAGUAGAGACGGGGUUUCACCGUGUUAGCCAGGAUGGUCUCGAUCUCCUGACAUCGUGAUCCGCCCGCCUCGGCCUCCCAAAGUCCUGAGAUUACAGGCGUGAGCCACUGCGCCUGGCCCGGUUUUGCCUAUUCUUGAACUGGAUGUAUUGCAUAAUAUAAAUAUCUUGGGUAGAUGCAUUCAUGUGAUUGCAUGUAUU